AUUUAGAGGAAGUAAAAGUCGUAACAAGGUUUCCGUAGGUGAACCUGCGGAAGGAUCAUUACUGAACUGUUGACACGAGCUGUUGCUGGUCCUCAAAUGAGGGGGCAUGUGCACGCUCUGUUUACACAUCCACUCACACCUGUGCACCCUCUGUAGUUCUACAUGGUCUGGGGGACAUGCUGUCUUCCUCGUGUAGCUCUACGUCUUUACACAUACACCGUACAAAGUUUUAUGGAAUGUGCACCGCGUUUAACGCAAUACAAUACAACUUUCAGCAACGGAUCUCUUGGCUCUCGCAUCGAUGAAGAACGCAGCGAAAUGCGAUAAGUAAUGUGAAUUGCAGAAUUCAGUGAAUCAUCGAAUCUUUGAACGCACCUUGCGCCCCCUGGCUAUUCCGAGGGGCAUGCCUGUUUGAGUAUCAUGAACACCUCAACUCUCAUGGUUUGCCGUGAUGAGCUUGGACUUCUGGAGGUUUUGCUGGCCUUUGGUCGGCUCCUCUCAAAUGGAUCAGCUUGCCAGUGUUUGGUGGCGUCAUGGGUGUGAUAAAUAUCUACGCUUGUGGCCGUCUGCCAGGUAACCUUCAGCGAUGGAGGUUCGCUGGAGCUCACAAAGGUCUUCCUCAGCGAAGACAGCUUUUUGAACGUUCGAUCUCAAAUCAGGUAGGACUACCCGCUGAACUUAAGCAUAUCAAUAAGCGGAGGA
rnacentral:rRNA from 1 species